GGGAGGUGCAAGGAAGGUUCCCCACAAGAACAGUCACAGCAACCGCUCAAAGUGGCUUACACUAGAACCACAAUCACCCAAUCACGCAGAUUUAAGUGCCUUGGCCAGAGGCACAUCAGAAUGUGACCAGAGAAAGCUGGAAUCAACCCCACAACGUUCCGAUCGCAAGACGAUUCCCCCACCCACUGAGCCAGUUGCCUGAAAAACAAGUUAAGAGGAUCUGAUGGCAGAAACUCCCCCGAAAGAAGAGGGUUCCCUCUGCAGAGACUUUGCAUCUUGCUGUUUGUCUUUCUGGUCCAGCUGUUGUCAGAUACGACGUGCGCCAAGGAACACCAAAGAUCCUGUCAUCGUCACCCCGCAGGCCCAAACUUCGGUCACCGUGAAUGCUAAUCCAGUCAUGACGGUUAAUCAAAACUCUUUUAAUCAAAACUCUGUUCCUUCUCCUGUUGGUGUUAACACCUAAUAAAACCUGUGCAGACAACCUGUCGAAAUUUGAGUCCCUCAAGAUCAUACUGAUGCAUAGUUGGACUCUUUACUUUUGUCAAAAUGAGGUGAGAUCUUUUCAUAUUUCCAUGCACAGAUGAUCAGACUCAAAAUAAAACAAUAAAGUGUUCACAUCCUGCGGCUGUAGUGACUAAAAAGGACACCCAGCAGAGCAAUGCAUUAAUUCUCUCUCUUAUCUUGCACACCUGAAAUAAUUAUGGUAAUAAUUAUGUUUAAUACCAUGAUUAUUAUCAUUGAUUUAAAUGAAAAGGAAGUGAUUCUUUGUGUUGUUGAUUAAAGUGAAGAGAAGGGGAUUCUGUUAGCUGUUGAUUAACAUAGGUGGAUGGUUUUGUUGAUUCAGGAUACAUUGUUUCUGAUUAUGAAGAUCUCGAGAGAACCUAUUAACUUCUGUGUAUGAAGCAAUAUAAUCAAUAAAUUGCCAAUAAUGCAGUAUGAUAUAAAAUUGAUUGUGAUGAAUAAAAAGAUAUUGUGAUUGAAAGAAGAGGUAAGACACCCGAGGAGUGGCCAGCUAUAAAGAAGUGUGGAGCAAAGGUAGACAUAAAAAGGCCUGUGUGUGAAGGCAUAGCCCAGAGUUAGAAAUUGUGAAUUUAGGAGGGGAAAGAGAACAUGGUUGCAAAACUAACCAAUGGACAAAAAAAAAAAAAAAAA